rnacentral:rRNA from 1 species
UACGUAGGGGGCGAGCGUUGUCCGGAGUUACUGGGCGUAAAGCGCACGCAGGCGGUCUGCUAAGUUUGGAGUGACAGUUGGUGGCUUAACUGCCAAAGUGCUUCGAAAACUGACAGACUUGAGGGCUUCAGAGGGACACGGAAUUCCGGGUGGAGUGGUGAAAUGCGUAGAUAUCGGAAGGAACGCCGGUGGCGAAAGCGGCGUGCUGGACCUCUUCUGACGCUGAGGCGCGAAAGCCAGGGGAGCAAACGGG